AUGAGGUCGUAUGAUCCUCCCACACCGACCCUGACUCAGUCUCCUCUUGAGGUGAAGGAGGGAUCCUCAGUGAAUCUGACCUGCUCUGCUCCGGCUCCCUGUUGGGCUCAACCUCCAACUCUGACAUGGACCCCCAGUCUGGGUGACGCUCGAGAGGAACUGCAGGAGAAUCAGGACAAAACUAAAGUCAAGAAGUCUGUCCUGACCUUCCCUGCUUCUCAUCUCCAUCAUGGAAAGAGAUUCUCCUGUACAGUGGUCUACAAGAAACAAGAUGGCAGCACGGAUGCAUCUGUGAGCAGGAGUCUAACAGCUGCUGUUUCCUUUCCUCCACAGAUCCUGCCAUCAUCUGAUUGCACCAAAACUGCAGGCCAGAUCAACUGUUCCUGUGAGACUGUGGGAAAUCCUUUCCCCACUUUACACUGGUAUUUGGAUGGUCUACCUGUCAAUCAGUCCGACAAGUUUGUGAUCAUCAGUGAGCGUCUAAAUAAUGACAAAGGUCUGAGGAGCUUCAUCACUGGGGAUCAACCUCAAGAGAUACAUCGUUCAACCUUGACCUGCCUCAGCUUCAACUCUCUUGGAUCUGCCAGUCAACAUUUCAGCCUUGAGCAUCAAGCAUGUGCUGAAAGUCACGAUCCAGUGCUGUUCCUAAUGUUCUCUACCAAAACUGCCAUGUUGAUCGCACUAUUGUGUGCUCUGCUGUGUGUUAUCAAGGCUCUGAAGAAUCACCAUGACCCCAAAAGUCACCUCACAGGUGAAAUCAGCCGAGCUGCUACGAGCCAACAUCUAAUCAGAGAGGCAGAUGAGCUACCCGACACAGCAGAAGAGGACGCUUAUGUCAACAUCGAAGGGUUAUCAGUCGUUGCCGCCCCUCUGUCUGAAGAAGAAUGAAGUGGAGAGUGACGUAAUGCCAGGUAAUUUACUCUACUGUGUCUUGGAAGUGCAAGACCAGGAAGGGAAAAGACUGGUGGUUCCUAUCUGGAGGAGGAGAAGUGGAUGGUGGAGGGGCAUUCGUUGAUAUUUCAUGAGCAAUGCACUGGAGAUGGGAAACCUGUAUGAUGAAGUGGAGCUUAGAAAUAUGAGGAAGGAAGCAGAGUGUGAAUAUGUUCAGGUUUAGUUUGAAGACAAAAGUGCAAAGAAACUAUAGAUGAUGUUUUCCACUGUUGGGAAUAACUGCUCUGCUGCAUGCAUGCUAUCUUUUUGCAACUAAUCAAACAGCAUUAAAAUGUACAGAAUUGUAUGCAGUUGUAGGGAAGUAGCUGCAGUAGCACAAAUAUUAUGUCAAUGACGUUGUCUUACAUGACAAUCUGACUGAUAUCAUGUUCAUAAAACCAAAAGUUUUCUCUCCAAAUGUAUAUUGGAUCCAAGUAUUGGCUGCUAGUCGCCUUACAAAUAAUUAGUUUCAGCCCUGAAAGAAACGUAUCAGCUGAUCCCUAAUCUUUAAAGAUUUUCACUGAUUUGGAUUUGAGAGAGAAGAAUUUUGUCCAGUUGUAAAUACACAAUGGUUGUAAUAUCAAUGAACAAUUUUCACAAUUUUAAUGUAAAAUAUGAAAUGCUGUAUAUUUCCCUUUUUUUCUUUCUGUCUUUUUUUAAUUUAAAUGCUGAUGAUCAUAUGUAAAUUGAGAAAACCCAUGCUGUUUUAUCUUUAUUUGCUAGUGUAGCCUAUGCCGUUUAAUGCGUUAGUUUUAAUGGGAACUGAAGUGGUUGUAGUUACUCUAAGGAAGAGAGUCAAGGUGAUACAGAAUCUAUCUUUUUUCACUCCAAAGUACAGUGUCUAGAGUUUUUCCUUAUGUCUUGAGUUGCAGUUUAUUUUUUCAGAAUUUUUUAAAGCAGACAUUGGUGCAUGCACUUCAUGCUUGCACUGAUAUAAUCAUUUAGGGUUUUAUAAAUAUGAGAUGUAGAUGUCUGAAAUAUGAAAAAAGGUUAAGGUGGUUAUCAAACAGGUAACGUGAGAAAUGGCCUUAAGCUGAUGAUGUAUUUGUUCGUCCUAUGUAUCUGUCUAUAUAAUAAAUAAACAUGCAUAUCAGCU